UCAAAUUUAAUUCAUUCAUUAUAAAAUCAUGUUCGAAUUUUAACUAAACAAUGGUGUGAUCAAAUCGAGUUGAACUGAGUAUUGACAUAUUCAAAAAUUUGAGUUUUUCUUCUCAUACAUUCAUUUUCCCUUCUUGUUGGGAUUGGGUUCAACUUCCACAGCGGCCGAAUCAUCUGUUUCACUAUCUUCAUCUUCUACCUUGCUGUCUGAAAUUUUGUCAUCAUCCUUCUCUUCAGAGUCGACAACUACACUGUCAUCGUUCUUCGCCAUGAGCAAGCUUGUUAGCGCUCCAGUUGAGGCCGCCUCGCCUCCAUGCUCUUCAAAAGCUCCCCUGUGUCUGCCAUGGCUUUAGAAUCAUACUCACUGCAAUCAAGGAUUAAUGUUUGGAGUUAAACAAUAACAGAGAGUUCAAGUUUGAUGGUACGUAACUAACAAUAAUGAAGUAAAAUUAAUAGCUUUUGAAGAAAAAAUCAUAUAAACAGAACAAUAGACACAUGUUUUUUCGAAACAGAAACAAUAGACACAUGCUUCAGAGAUUGAAAUUUAGUCCUACAGAAAUUAUAUUAAUGGAUCUCACAUAUUCUCAUGUCAUCUUGAAAAUUGAAUUUAUUUGAUUCUGAUAGAAAAUCUAUAACAAAACUCAAAAUGGCUCAAUAGGAGCUUUACAGUUACUCCAGUAGGCCAAUCUAAGCUCAAGCUUGGAUUCAACUUAGCUAUUCAAUUAGCCAUUCAUUUAUGAAGCUUAUAUGCCCCUCCAAAUCCACCUGAAAAGUAGACAAUCUUCAUCAACACAUGUUUCUUUCUUGUCUUCAUCAUUUGUCUUCUUUAAUAAUUACACCAUGAAAACAUAUAUAUUGAUACAACUUAUUUAACCCCCAACACCAUUUCAUCAAAUUCAAGCUAGUAUGCCUCAACAUUCAAACACAAGAAAUAAGCAUUCAAGAAAUGGAAAAAGUUGUCUACCUCUUUUUCUUUUCGUUUAUUUCUUUUUUUUUUUUUUUAUUCUUAUUAUUCUUUCCUUCUCCCUUUUUGCUAGGAUUGUGUUCAACUUCCACAGCUACUGAAUCCUCUGUUUUGUGUGUAUGGGCAUAAAUAGUGAUGUGAAUCCUUAGUUUAGACAACUGUUUCUAUAGAUAUAGAAGUGAUCUACUCAAAAUAAUUCCUUAUAAUGAUGAAUGAAGUUUGAGUAUUGAUUCGUAUCAAUUUUCAAUAAAAAAUAAUUAUAUACCCUCAUUAGUAGGAAUGAACCCUAAUUAAUAAUUUCAAAAUUAAACUAAAGCAUUCAUAGUUGAAAUUAGAGAAAAAUAUAUAAAUAUAUAAAUAAAAUUGCAAGUGGGACAUCAAGUGGGGUCCCUGAAUUAGAAACUCCAUAGAAUAGGAUAAUACUCCUUCAAUUAAUAAAAAAUUAGAUUUUCUUUUUCAAAUAAAAUACACAUACAACUGUUUAGCAAGCAAAAGAUAUUGAUGCUCACCGUCACGGGUCAAUGUAUUUGGAGCCAUGAAUUUCGAGGCGCCGCAUUGCGUCCACAGUCCACAGUCUCCUAUUGUUUAAGAACCAAAUUAAGGGAUGAGAUCUAUUGUCCCACAAUUUUAUAUAUUUAUAUCACUAUGUCCCAUUCUUAUAUCUAUUAUUUUAAUAAUAUUUUUUAUAAAAAUAAAUUAUAAUAUAAAUAAAACUAAAAGGGGCAUCAAGUGUGGUACGGAAUCUCAAUCCCCAAAUUAUUAGCAACUGAAUUAGAAGCUCCUAGUAAUAGAUUUUACUAGGCUACUCAAUUUCUAACAAUUAGAUUUUUUUUUCAAAUAAAAUACAUAUACAACUGUUUCUAGCUAGCAAAAGAUAUUGAUACUCACCGUCACGGGCUAAUGUAUGUGAAUCCAUGAAUUUGGAGGCGCCGCAUUGCAGCCACAGUCGCCACACUUAACUUAGGAACGUCUUCAAUUUGCAAAGUUGUUAGACGAGGGAAUAUAGGGAGGGAUGUGAUUGUGAAGCUUCUUCCUUCUGAUUCUUCUUCUCCGCACCUAUCUGAUAUUUCUCUCAAAUUCGGGCACGAACUUAGACGAGGGAAUUUAGGGAGAGAUGUGAUUGUGAAG
rnacentral:lncRNA from 1 species